GGCGUGCCUAAUACAUGCAAGUCGAGCGAACGGACGAGAAGCUUGCUUCUCUGAUGUUAGCGGCGGACGGGUGAGUAACACGUGGAUAACCUACCUAUAAGACUGGGAUAACUUCGGGAAACCGGAGCUAAUACCGGAUAAUAUUUUGAACCGCAUGGUUCAAAAGUGAAAGACGGUCUUGCUGUCACUUAUAGAUGGAUCCGCGCUGCAUUAGCUAGUUGGUAAGGUAACGGCUUACCAAGGCAACGAUGCAUAGCCGACCUGAGAGGGUGAUCGGCCACACUGGAACUGAGACACGGUCCAGACUCCUACGGGAGGCAGCAGUAGGGAAUCUUCCGCAAUGGGCGAAAGCCUGACGGAGCAACGCCGCGUGAGUGAUGAAGGUCUUCGGAUCGUAAAACUCUGUUAUUAGGGAAGAACAUAUGUGUAAGUAACUGUGCACAUCUUGACGGUACCUAAUCAGAAAGCCACGGCUAACUACGUGCCAGCAGCCGCGGUAAUACGUAGGUGGCAAGCGUUAUCCGGAAUUAUUGGGCGUAAAGCGCGCGUAGGCGGUUUUUUAAGUCUGAUGUGAAAGCCCACGGCUCAACCGUGGAGGGUCAUUGGAAACUGGAAAACUUGAGUGCAGAAGAGGAAAGUGGAAUUCCAUGUGUAGCGGUGAAAUGCGCAGAGAUAUGGAGGAACACCAGUGGCGAAGGCGACUUUCUGGUCUGUAACUGACGCUGAUGUGCGAAAGCGUGGGGAUCAAACAGGAUUAGAUACCCUGGUAGUCCACGCCGUAAACGAUGAGUGCUAAGUGUUAGGGGGUUUCCGCCCCUUAGUGCUGCAGCUAACGCAUUAAGCACUCCGCCUGGGGAGUACGACCGCAAGGUUGAAACUCAAAGGAAUUGACGGGGACCCGCACAAGCGGUGGAGCAUGUGGUUUAAUUCGAAGCAACGCGAAGAACCUUACCAAAUCUUGACAUCCUUUGACAACUCUAGAGAUAGAGCCUUCCCCUUCGGGGGACAAAGUGACAGGUGGUGCAUGGUUGUCGUCAGCUCGUGUCGUGAGAUGUUGGGUUAAGUCCCGCAACGAGCGCAACCCUUAAGCUUAGUUGCCAUCAUUAAGUUGGGCACUCUAAGUUGACUGCCGGUGACAAACCGGAGGAAGGUGGGGAUGACGUCAAAUCAUCAUGCCCCUUAUGAUUUGGGCUACACACGUGC
rnacentral:rRNA from 1 species